GCGACAUUAGCUCAGCGGUAGAGCGGCGGUUUUCCAGUCCGCGCGUCAGGAGUUCGAUCCUCCUAUGUCGCUCCA
rnacentral:tRNA from 1 species